rnacentral:rRNA from 1 species
GUAUCAAUAAGCGGAGGAAAAGAAACCAACAGGGAUUGCCCCAGUAACGGCGAGUGAAGCGGCAACAGCUCAAAUUUGAAAUCUGGCCCUCCAGGGUCCGAGUUGUAAUUUGCAGAGGAUGCUUUUGGCGAGGUGCCUCCGAGUUCCCUGGAACGGGACGCCACUAGAGGGUGAGAGCCCCGUCUGGUUGGACACCGAGCCUCUGUAAAGCUCCUUCGACGAGUCGAGUAGUUUGGGAAUGCUGCUCUAAAAUGGGAGGUAUAUGUCUUCUAAAGCUAAAUAUUGGCCAGAGACCGAUAGCGCACAAGUAGAGUGAUCGAAAGAUGAAAAGCACUUGAAAAGAGGGUUAAACUAGUAC